rnacentral:rRNA from 1 species
UACGGAGGGUCCGAGCGUUAAUCGGAAUUACUGGGCGUAAAGCGCGCGUAGGCGGCUUCGUUAGUCAGAUGUGAAAGCCCUGGGCUCAACCUAGGAAUUGCAUUUGAUACUGCAGGUCUAGAGUAUGGUAGAGGUGAGUGGAAUUCCAGGUGUAGCGGUGAAAUGCGUAGAUAUCUGGAGGAACAUCAGUGGCGAAGGCG